rnacentral:rRNA from 1 species
GUCUGAGCAUAAACUAAAUAAGUUAAAACUUUCAACAACGGAUCUCUUGGUUCCGGCAUCGAUGAAGAACGCAGCGAAAUGCGAUAACUAAUGUGAAUUGCAGAAUUCAGUGAAUCAUCGAGUCUUUGAACGCACAUUGCGCCCCCUGGUAUUCCGGGG